AGUGUUCUCUGCUCCUGCAUGCUGGACUCCUGAGCCAGGAGGCUCUUUCACUCCGUGGCCCUUCUGCUCAUUCUUCAAGUCCCUGAGUGACCAGUGGUCCUCCUUUCUGAAGGCUCUUGCUACAAAGGAAAGAUGAGGAUAUUCUAUUUCUUGAUCCCUCUCAGCUACUGGGAGCUGCUUUGUGCCUUGGAAGCCUCAAGCUGAAAUGGAUGUCAGCCUCAAGUUUAACUCCAAGAGGGUUCACCUUGUUUCUUUGAACAAAAUGUGCUGCCUGUUGCUUCCCUUUGCCAGGAGUGGUGUUCCCUUUUCCACAGGUCUGGACCACAGUGUCUCUAGCUCCCGCUCCUGGAUACUUGGUUACUGUGUGUUUCGGUAAAAAAGCAUCCACAACAUGAAUAUCCACUAAGCUGUAACAGGGCCUGCUGCAACUAUAGUAUUUCCUGAAAAAGUAUCAACUGCCACAAGGGCCACAAAUAAAGUCUGUGAACUUGAAAUAACCAUGGAGAAUGAAAUGUUCUGAUUCAGAUCAUCGGUGGGAUUUCACUGGGAAAUCUCCCACUGGGCAAGAGUAGAUGAUGGAGGAGGAGAAACAGUCACUAGAAAAAGGUGAUACUUUGUAUCAAGAAACAAUUAAAAAUUAGAUCACAUCCUGAAACAUUAAGCAUAUGCUCCUUUGUGAGGCUUGCCUGGCUGAACUUGAACUGGAUUGAGUGAAUAAUUUCUUAAAAACAAUCAAAAUCACAGAUUUAUUCUAUUUUAAAUACUUAUAUUUACUUAUAUUUCAUUCAGAAAUUAGUUAACAAAUAAUUUUUGAGUAUCCUGGGAACUGUUCUAAUCAUUAAACAUGCAAGUUUGAAGAAAGUAAGGAUGAAUCUGCCUGCGUGGGGCUCUCAAUCUAGCGAGAAGCAGAUAAGAAGACAAAUGUCAGGGAAGAUCACACAACCUUCAGGAUCUAAACCUUAACCUUCCUGGCUGAUGCUGAAAGAGAGCUUGUAUGAAACACGUUCUUACAAAACUAUUUGGUGGAUCGUGACAAAGACGAAUGACUGGGUACUAUAAUUUAAAAUGGAAAAUAAGAAUUCAUGUUGAACCAUAAUCCACAAUGCAACAGUAUCAAGAGGUGUGGCCUUUAGGAGCUGAUUAGGCCACGAAGGCUCUGCCUCAUGGAUGGGAUCACCCUUAUAAAAAGACUUGAUGGAGUGCAUUCAGUCCCUUUUUUGCUCCUUCCAUUCCUUCCACCUUGUGGGAAUACAGCAUGCCCUCUGGAAGAUGCAGCAACACAGCACCAUUUUGGAUGCAGAGACCACAUUCUUGCAAGACACCAAACCUGCUAAUGCCUUGAUUUUGGACUUCCAGCCUCCAGAACUAUAAGAAAUAUAUUUCUGUUCUUUAUAAAUGACCCAGUCUCAGGUAUUUUGUUACUGCCAUAGGAACAGACUAAGACAGGGCCCAAAUUGCCCCAUCUGUGGAUUUCAGAGGUCCCUGAUCUGAAUGGCAGAAGAGGAGUUUGCUGUGCCUAUCUGCUGAACUGUACACCACUCCCGUACAAAAAGGCCAUGAGGCUCUGGCAGUGCCUGCUCUACAUACCAGGUUUGUUUGAGUAACCAAAGGACUCAUCAAAGGCUGCUUAACCACUGCUAGUUGUUAGCAGAGAUGGGCAGAAAGAAUCAUUUUCACUUCCUUGUCAUUUCCUAAAACUGCCCCUCCCAAGGAUUAGGAACAGGCACAUCCCCACCAUGAGUGAUCAGGGCUCUAUAAGGUGCAUUUGUGCAUCACAUCAACACUCAUUAAAAACAAUGAGACAGUAACUGCAAAAAGACAUUACUUCACCCCGGCAGCAAGUUCCCAGGGGCAAACUUGCCAUCUGCUAGGCAGCGCUAGGAACCAGAAAACUUUUGAAGCAAUUCAGUUGGAUCCUCCAGCUUUGAAGCAUCUGGUUGGUAACUGUGCUAUCAGCAUGAAGUUACCUUCUCAGUUUCAAACACCCCAGUGUUGGAACCUGAAGAUAGAAUUCCUGUGGUUUAGACACAAAUGCCUGCUACUAGGAUUUACAGAUGGGGCUCUCCUUUAAGUCUUAGGAGACAUGGCUCAGAAAUGAUCAUGCAAUCUCUCAACAAUUUCUCAGGAAUGACCAACAGUCUCUCAGAAUACAGCAAAACAUCUGUUUCUUACAUGUAACUCCACCGAACACAGGCUGCCUUCCCCAUACACAUGUUUUUCUGGCGGGGAUUGUAUGACAUGUGAAUUCAAAGGACCAUUUCUUUUGCCCCAUGACAAGCCUUUCAGAGGGUGAAGUGCUUGGAUUUAGAGUGAUUCUCCUUAGAGGAUUUACCCCCAGUUGUUGAAAUAUGGCAAAUACCAAGUGUCCACGAUUUAUUAUAAGACAAUAAAGUGAUUGUUCCUUA